UACGUAGGUGGCAAGCGUUGUCCGGAAUUAUUGGGCGUAAAGCGCGCGCAGGCGGUCCUUUAAGUCUGAUGUGAAAGCCCACGGCUCAACCGUGGAGGGUCAUUGGAAACUGGGGGACUUGAGUGCAGAAGAGGAGAGUGGAAUUCCACGUGUAGCGGUGAAAUGCGUAGAGAUGUGGAGGAACACCAGUGGUGAAGGCGACUCUCUGGUCUGUAACUGACGCUGAGGCGCGAAAGCUAGGGGAGCAAACGGG
rnacentral:rRNA from 1 species